UACGGAGGGUGCGAGCGUUAAUCGGAAUUACUGGGCGUAAAGCGCACGUAGGCGGUUUUGUCGGUCAGAUGUGAAAGCCCCGGGCUUAACCUGGGAAUUGCAUCUGAUACUGCAAGACUAGAGUAUGUUAGAGGGAAGUGGAAUUCCGGGUGUAGCGGUGAAAUGCGUAGAUAUCCGGAGGAACACCAAUGGCGAAGGCAACUUCCUGGGGCAAUACUGACGCUGAGGUGCGAAAGCGUGGGGAGCGAACAGG
rnacentral:misc_RNA from 1 species